CAACAGGGAUUGCCUUAGUAACUGCGAGUGAAGCGGCAAAAGCUCAAAUUUGAAAUCUGGCGUCUUUGGCGUCCGAAUUGUAAUUUGGAGAGGCAACUUCGGAGAUGGUGCCGUCCUAAGUCCCUUGGAACAGGAUGACAUAGAGGGUGAGAUCCCCGUGCCUGGGUGGCUGUCCAUCUCCAUGUGAAUUGCCUUCGAAGAGUCGAGUUGUUUGGGAAUGCAGCUCAAAAUGGGUGGUAAAUUUCAUCUAAAGCUAAAUAUUGGCGAGAGACCGAUAGCGCACAAGUAGAGUGAUCGAAAGAUGAAAAGCACUUUGAAAAGAGAGUUAAAAAGUACGUG
rnacentral:rRNA from 1 species